rnacentral:rRNA from 1 species
AAUAGUAUACAGUGAAACUGCGAAUGGCUCAUUAAAACAGUUAUAGUUUAUUUGAUAGUUGAAUGCUACAUGGAUAACCGUGGUAAUUCUAGAGCUAAUACAUGCUUAAAAACCUGACUUCUUGAAAGGUUGUAUUUAUUAGAUUACAAACCAAUAUUCCUUCGGGUCUAUUGUGAUGAUUCAUAAUAACUGAUCGGAGCGAACGCAGUUCGCUAAAUCAUUCAAGUUUCUGCCCUAUCAGCUUUCGAAGGUAGUGUAUUGGACUACCUUGGCAGUCACGGGUAACGGGGAAUUAGGGUUCGAUUCCGGAGAGGGAGCCUGAGAAACGGCUACCACUUCUAAGGAAGGCAGCAGGCGCGUAAAUUACCCAAUCCUGACUCAGGGAGGUAGUGACAAGAAAUAACAACUCGGGGCCUCACGGCUCACGGGAUUGCAAUGAGAACAAUUUAAAACACUUAACGAGGAACAAUUGGAGGGCAAGUCUGGUGCCAGCAGCCGCGGUAAUUCCAGCUCCAAUAGCGUAUAUUAAAGUUGUUGCAGUUAAAAAGCUCGUAGUUGAACUUCUGGCGGUUGGUGUUGCUGGCUUCGGUCGCUUCAUUGGCAGUCAUCCGCUUGGGAACCCCGUUCGGUCUUCAUUGGUCGGCGGGAGGAUCAGGCAUUUUACUUUGAAAAAAUUAGAGUGUUCAAGGCAGGCAAUCGCCAUGAAUACACAAGCAUGGAAUAAUGGAAUAGGACUGAUAGUCAUUUUAUUGGUUAUUGACUGUUA